UAAGGUGUAAAUCACUAUUGCUCUCUGGUGGUAUGAUUCGGAACUGGUAAUUAACCCACAUUACCUUCCCGGACGUUAGGUGGCAGUAAACACUUGCUGUUGGUCACCAAACGUUACUAAUGAAGACAGAAGAAGACAUAUGAGGAAGUUUUGCCGCGUUUCUUUGUUUUGGAUCUUCAUGCUCAGUUUUUUUUUGACGUUUCGAUACUUCAGAAACGUUUUAUUUCGCUUACGAAUAACGAGCUAAAUGCAAUUUUAUGAUUCUGUUUUGAUUGAACGCAUAUGAGCUAAUUUAGUAUACAGCUUCUCUGUCGACUAGCUACUGUAGCUAGUUAACGUUAGUUAGCAACACAGGAGCCUUGACGUCAGUCGCUAAGGCUUGCUCAUAUCAUGGAUGGUGAAAACAAACCCUGCCUGCUGCUCUCCUUUACCGCACCUAAAUCUGAGGGUCCUGAUUGUAACAGAGUGAACAGCAGACUCCAGAGAUGGCAUCAGUGAAGCAGGAAGACUGCAGUCAAACACUGGGGCUGAAUGUCAACAUUAAAGAUGAAGUAAAGGAGGAAGAGAUUGAAACAUUUGUGUAUCAUGGGCCGGCUGGAGAGUUCAAAGAAAACACGGAAGAACACCAAGUCUUACUACUCAAAGGUCUCUCUCAGGGAGAAAUCUCCAGCUCUGGUCCCCCACCAACACCAGAGGGAACUGUGGAGUCAGCUUUACCCUCUGUCACCAUGGAGGAGCUACCCUCCACCUCACCAUCAACACCUUGGCCAGCACCAACAGUGCCACCCCAACCCAUCACCUCCCGUCCUGCACCAGCUCACUCUGGCUCUGCUCCCCAACCCAUCACCUCCCGUCCUGCACCAGCUCACUCAAUCCACUCUCAAUCAAUGAAUCAAAUUUAUUUUAUAAAGCCCUUUUUACAUCAGCAGUUGUCACAAAGUGCUUUACAGAUACCCAGCCUAAAAUCCCAAAUAGCAAGCAAUGCAGAUGCACUCUCUGGCACCGCACCCCAACCCAUCACCUCCUGUCCUGCACCAGCUCAUUCCAUCCACUCUGGCUUUGCUCCCCAACCCAUCACCUCCUGUCCUGCACCAGCUCAUUCCAUCCACUCUGGCUUUGCUCCCCAACCCAUUACCUCCUGUCCUGCACCAGCUCAUUCCAUCCACUCUGGCUUUGCUCCCCAACCCAUCACCUCCUGUCCUGCACCAGCUCAUUCCAUCCACUCUGGCUUUGCUCCCCAACCCAUCACCUCCUGUCCUGCACCAGCUCAUUCCAUCCACUCUGGCUUUGCUCCCCAACCCAUUACCUCCUGUCCUGCACCAGCUCAUUCCAUCCACUCUGGCUUUGCUCCCCAACCCAUUACCUCCUGUCCUGCACCAGCUCAUUCCAUCCACUCUGACUCUACACCCCAACCCAUCACGUCUGGCUGGACACCACAAGGCCCCCAAGCCAUUCUGCUCCAACAAAUCCUGGACACACAAACGCAACAAAUCCAUGCUACACAGACCGCCCAACACAUCCACCAAGCUCUUUAUGAUUUAUUAGAAAAAGCACAUGAAACACAGAAGGCACACCUGGAUGUGGAGAAGAACCGGCUCCAGCUGGAUAGAGAGCGCUUGAGGGUGGAGACAGAGCGCCUGCAGGUGGAGAGGGAGCGCCUCAAGAUGGAGAAGGAUCGCCUGGGGGAAGGGGAGGCGCUUCGGCAGCUCUCUGUCUCUGGGUCAGUCGCCCUAGAACACCAGACGCCUGUGAGUUCAAGAACUGCCAGUGCCUCAGCCACCUUUCCUCUGGGAACACCAUCAGCCUCCAUGUCCAGUCCCCUCACAUUAAUAUCACCUACUGCACCACACUUUGAUUCCCCAUUCCCAUUACCGGUAAUCACAACCCAUUCCACCCAGCCAUCACAAACCAGCCCUGCCCCAACCUCUCCUACCUUAACCAGCCCUGCCCCAACCUCUGCUACCUUAACCAGCCCUGCCCCAACCUCUGCUACCUUAACCAGCCCUGCCCCAACCUCCCCUGCCUUAACCGUUCCUGCCCCAACCUCCCCUACCUUAACCGUUCCUGCCCACUCUCUCAUCCCUCCAAUCUCCAGAUCUGUUAAACGGCGAGUUCAGGAGACAGUCCGGCCUUGGUCUGCACCCACUGCUAAGAAUCAAAAACAUCAAUAA
rnacentral:lncRNA from 1 species